UACGUAGGGGGCAAGCGUUGUCCGGAAUCAUUGGGCGUAAAGAGCGUGUAGGCGGUCCGGUAAGUCGGCUGUGAAAGUCCAGGGCUCAACCCUGGGAUGCCGGUCGAUACUGCCGGACUAGAGUUCGGAAGAGGCGAGUGGAAUUCCCGGUGUAGCGGUGAAAUGCGCAGAUAUCAGGAAGAACACCUAUGGCGAAGGCAGCUCUCUGGGACGGUACUGACGCUGAGACGCGAAAGCGUGGGGAGCGAACAGG
rnacentral:rRNA from 1 species